UACGAAGGCCCCGAGCGUUAUCCGGAUUUAUUGGGCGUAAAGAGAGCGCAGGUGGUUUUGUGCGUCUGCUGUUAAAUGUCUCAGCUUAACUGGGUCACCGCAGUGGAUACGGCAAAACUAGAGCGUGUGAGAGGUGACUAGAAUUCACGGUGUAGGGGUGAAAUCCGUUGAUAUCGUGGAGAAUACCAAAGGCGAAGGCAUGUCACUGGCACACUGCUGACACUCAGGCUCGAAAGCGUGGGGAGCAAAAAGG
rnacentral:rRNA from 1 species